CAGUCGCCGCGGUAAUACGUAGGGUGCAAGCGUUAAUCGGAAUUACUGGGCGUAAAGCGUGCGUAGGCGGUUUGUUAAGUCUGCUGUGAAAUCCCCGGGCUCAACCUGGGAAUGGCAGUGGAUACUGGCAAGCUAGAGUGUGUCAGAGGAUGGUGGAAUUCCCGGUGUAGCGGUGAAAUGCGUAGAGAUCGGGAGGAACAUCAGUGGCGAAGGCGGCCAUCUGGGACAACACUGACGCUGAGGCACGAAAGCGUGGGGAGCAAACAGGAUUAGAUACCCCUGUAGUCCCUGUCUCUUAUAC
rnacentral:rRNA from 1 species